rnacentral:rRNA from 1 species
AUAAGAGUUACUAAUGCAUAUAAUGGAUGCCUUGGUUUUGAGAGGCGAUGAAGGACGUGUUAAACUGCGAUAAGUUGCGUGUAUUUGAAAUUAAUAAAAAGUUAAUACGCAAAUUUCCGAAUGGGGUAACCUAUUAUAUUUUGUAGAAUAUAAUAUUAUUUUUAAUUUAAAAUUAAAAAUAAAGCGAACCUGAUGAACUGAAACAUCUUAGUAAUCAGAGGAAAAUAAAACAAAUUAGUGAUUUUGUAAGUAGUGGCGAGCGAAAGCAAAAUAGUCUAAACUAUAUAUGUAAACGCGUAUAUAGGGUUAUAGGGAUUAUUAAUAAAUUUUAUUAAUUAUAUAUUAGAAAUAUUUGGAAAGAUAUACCAUAGAUGGUGAUAGUCCAGUAAAUUAAAUAUAAUUAAUAAAAGAAAUAAUUACCUAAGUAAAACGAGACACGGGAAAUCUUGUUUGAAUUUGCCAGGACCAUCUGGUAAGACUAAAUACUACUCAAAAACCGAUAGUGAACUAGUACCGUGAGGGAAAGGUGAAAAGUACUUCUGGAAGAAGAGUGAAAUAGUCCCUGAAAUUAUAUGCAGACAAUCAGUCGGAGCUCUUAAAAAAUAGAGAGUGACGUCUUGCCUUUUGCAUAAUGAACCUACGAGUUAAUUUUACUGGCAAGAUUAAGCAAUUUAUAUUGUGUAGUCAUAGAGAAAUCGAGUUUUAAAAGAGCGUUUUAGUCAGUAGAAUUAGACGCGAAACCGAGUGAUCUAUCUAUGAACAGGUUGAAUCUAUAAUAAAAUAUAGUGGAGGACCGAACCGGUAGAUGUAGAAAAAUCUUCGGAUGAUUUGUGGAUAGGAGUGAAAGGCUAAUCAAACUCGGAGAUAGCUCGUACUCCCCGAAAUGCAUUUAGGUGCAGCAUUAUGAUAUAGUAUUAUAGAGGUAGAGCUACUAAUUUGAUGAGGGUGCUUAACAGCUUACCGAUUCUUAAUAAACUCCGAAUACUAUAAUAUGUUUCAUAGUAGUGAGGAUAUGGGUGCUAAGAUCCAUAUUCAAAAGGGAAACAACCCAGACCAUCAGUUAAGGUCCCUAAAUAUAUACUAAGUUGAAAUAACGAAGUUUAAUAUCAUAAACAACUAGGAUGUUAGCUUGGAAGCAGCUAUCAUUUAAAGAGUGCGUAAAAGCUCACUAGUCUAGAAAUUAAGCGCGGAUAAUAAUCGGGCAUAAGUAUAUUACCGAAACUAUGGGUUUAUAUAAUAAUAAAAUAAUAUAUAAGCGGUAGGGGAGCAUUGUAAAUACGUAGAAGUUAUGUUGUGAGAUAUAAUGGAGUGUUUACAAAAGAAAAUGUAGGUAUAAGUAACGAUAAUAUAGGUGAAAAACCUAUACACCAAAAAACUAAGGUUUCCUCAGCAAUGUUAAUCAACUGGGGGUUAGUCGAUCCUAAGGUGAUACCGAAAGGUGAAAUUGAUGGAUAAUCGGUUAAUAUUCCGAUACUUAUUUAUUAUUAAUAAUGAUGGGAGGACGAAGUGGUGAAACUAUUGCGUAAUAAUGGAUUGUUACGUUGAAAUAUAAAGGUAUAUAAAAUAUGUAAAAUGCAUAUUUUUUGCCGAAAUAUGAUAGUACUAUUAGAAAUAGAUAAUAUAGGUAAUAGCUUCCAAGAAAAGUCUCUAAAUUUUUUAUAAUAAAUAAUUCGUACCAAAACCGACACAGGUAGUUGAGGAGAGUAUCCUAAGGUGCUCGAGUGAUUCACAGCUAAGGAACUAGGCAAAAUGAACUUGUAACUUCGGGAGAAAAGUUACCAUAAUAUAUUUUAUUUAUAAAAUAUAUAUAUGGUCUCAGUAAAAUGAUUCAGACGACUGUUUACCAAAAACACAGGACUCUGCUAAAAUCGAAAGAUGAUGUAUAGGGUCUGACACCUGCCCGGUGCUAGAAGGUAAAAUGAGAAUGUUAAUAUAAUAGUAAUAUUAUAUGAAGCUUUUGAGUGAAGCCCUAGUAAACGGCGGCCGUAACUAUAACGGUCCUAAGGUAGCGAAAUUCCUUGUCGGGUAAGUUCCGACCUGCACGAAUGGUGUAACGAUCUGAAUACUGUCUCUGCUGUGAGCUCGGUGAAAUUGUAAUAUCGGUGAAGAUACCGAUUACUCGCAAUGGGACGAAAAGACCCUGUGAACCUUUACUAUAGCUUCGUAUUGAUUUUUAAUUAAUAGUGUGUAGAAUAGGUGGGAGACUAUGAAGCAUUAUCGUAAGGUAAUGUGGAGUCAAAAGUGAAAUACCACCCAUUAUUAAUUAUAAAUCUAACUAAUUAAAAAAAUAAUUAGGACAAUGCGUGGUAGGUAGUUUGACUGGGGUGGUCGCCUCCUAAAAAGUAACGGAGGCUUCCAAAGGUGCUUUCAACACGUUUGGUAAUCGUGUGUAGAGUAUAAUGGCAUAAAAGCGCUUAACUGUGAGAUACACAAAUCGAACAGAUACGAAAGUAGGGCAUAGUGAUCCGGUGGUUCUGUAUGGAAAGGCCAUCGCUCAAAGAAUAAAAGGUACUCCGGGGAUAACAGGCUAGUCUCCCCCAAGAGCUCAUAUCGACGGGGAGGUUCGGCACCUCGAUGUCGGCUCGUCACAUCCUGGGGCUGUAGAAGGUCCCAAGGGUUGGGCUGUUCGCCCAUUAAAGUGGCACGCGAGCUGGGUUCAGAACGUCGUGAGACAGUUCGGUCUCUAUCUAUUGCGAGCGUUAGAAGUUUGAAGUGGAUCUAAUUCUAGUACGAGAGGACCGAAUUGGGCGAGCCUAUGGUGCAUCAGUUGUAUCACCAGAUGCAUAGCUGAGUAGCUAAGCUCGUUAAAGAUAAGCACUGAAAGCAUAUAAAGUGCGAAACUUACCACAAGAUAAAACUUCUUUUAAGGAUAGUUGAAGAUUACAACAUUGAUAGGCUAUAAGUGUACAAAUAGUAAUAUUUUAAGCUGAGUAGUACUAAUUAUCCGUAAACUAAAAUUU